GACGAACGCUGGCGGCGUGCUUAACACAUGCAAGUCGAGCGGAGCGGCGAACGGGCGAUUAACGCGUGAGUAACUGCCCCCCUCUCUGGGAUAACAGUUGGAAACGGCUGCUAAUACCGGAUAGUGGGGGAUGACUCGCGUCCUAUCAGCUUGUUGGUGGGGUAGUGGCCUACCAAGGCGACGACGGGUAGCCGGCCUGAGAGGGCGACCGGCCACAUUGGGCAGAGAUACCGACAGAACUCAUCCGGGAGGGAGAAGUGGGGAUGAUUGUACAAUGGGGGAAACCCUGAUGCAGGAACGCCGCAUGCGGUAUGACGGCCUUCGGGUUGUAAACCGCUUUCAGCCAUGACGCGGUAGUGGCAGAAGAAGCACCGGCUAACUACGUGCCAGCAGCCGCGGUAAUAC
rnacentral:rRNA from 1 species